AUAAUGGUAGUAUAAGUAAAUAUACUUUCUUUCCAAGUAAGUGAUCUUUAAUUUCAUGAAGUCAUUAUA
rnacentral:tRNA from 1 species